AGGACGAACGCUGGCGGCGCGCCUAACACAUGCAAGUCGAACGGAGUUUACAAGCGGAAGUUUUCGGAUGGAAGCUUGUAAACUUAGUGGCGGACGGGUGAGUAACACGUGAGCAACCUGCCUAUCAGAGGGGGAUAACGAUUGGAAACGAUCGCUAAUACCGCAUAAAGCCUGAGGGUGAAAGCAGCAAUGCGCUAUCAGAUGUGCCCAAACGGGAUUAGCUAGUAGGUGAGGUAAAGGCUCACCUAGGCGACGAUCUCUAGCUGGUCUGAGAGGAUGAUCAGCCACAUUGGGACUGAGACACGGCCCAGACUCCUACGGGAGGCAGCAGUAGGGAAUAUUGCACAAUGGGGGAAACCCUGAUGCAGCAACGCCGCGUGAGUGAUGACGGCCUUCGGGUUGUAAAGCUCUGUCUUCAGGGACGAUAAUGACGGUACCUGAGGAGGAAGCCACGGCUAACUACGUG
rnacentral:rRNA from 1 species